rnacentral:rRNA from 1 species
CACUAGCCUAUACAAUCAUUGUUGCGGUUAAGAGGCUCGUAGUUGGAUUGAACACUUUUCUUUUAUUCAUGAUAUAUUAAGCUUCACUGCUUUUUUAUAUGUGUGGAAUUAAGAAAUUUAACCAUAGACACCUUUGGUUGAUUCUUUUGAAGCCAUGUAAUUAUUUGCUCUGAAUUAUACUAUAAAGCUUUAUAUCUCUCAUGAGUUAAUAUAACACUGCGUUUUCAACACUGUGAACAAAUCAGAGUGUAUCAAACAUGUCGUAUUUGAUUGUGCAUUGAAUGUUUCAUCAUGGAAUGUUGCACCUUCAAAUGAUCCGAAAGGAGACCGAUUUUGUCAAUUACACCUUCUGAUAACUAGUGUAUUAUUUACUCUCAUUGCUGAGGUAUAUCACUUUGUAUCUUUCCAUUGCAAUAUUCAUAGUUUCUCUCUUUCGAUCAUUUUUUGUGUCGAUGGGGAUAGUUGGAGUCAA